rnacentral:rRNA from 7 species
AUGAAAUGACUCUCGGCAACGGAUAUCUCGGCUCUUGCAUCGAUGAAGAACGUAGCGAAAUGCGAUACUUGGUGUGAAUUGCAGAAUCCCGUGAACCAUCGAGUCUUUGAACGCAAGUUGCGCCCGAAGCCAUUAGGUUGAGGGCACGCCUGCCUGGGUGUCACAU